UGUUUCGGCUAGGGGGCCAUCCCGGCUUACCAACCCGAUGCAAACUGCGAAUACCGGAGAAUGUUAUCACGGGAGACACACGGCGGGUGCUAACGUCCGUCGUGAAGAGGGAAACAACCCAGACCGCCAGCUAAGGUCCCAAAGUCAUGGUUAAGUGGGAAACGAUGUGGGAAGGCCCAGACAGCCAGGAUGUUGGCUUAGAAGCAGCCAUCAUUUAAAGAAAGCGUAAUAGCUCACUGGUCGAGUCGGCCUGCGCGGAAGAUGUAACGGGGCUAAACCAUGCACCGAAGCUGCGGCAGCGACACUCAGGUGUUGUUGGGUAGGGGAGCGUUCUGUAAGCCUGUGAAGGUGGCCUGUGAGGGUUGCUGGAGGUAUCAGAAGUGCGAAUGCUGACAUAAGUAACGAUAAAGCGGGUGAAAAGCCCGCUCGCCGGAAGACCAAGGGUUCCUGUCCAACGUUAAUCGGGGCAGGGUGAGUCGACCCCUAAGGCGAGGCCGAAAGGCGUAGUCGAUGGGAAACGGGUUAAUAUUCCCGUACUUGGUGUUACUGCGAAGGGGGGACGGAGAAGGCUAUGUUGGCCGGGCGACGGUUGUCCCGGUUUAAGCGUGUAGGUGUGUGUUCCAGGUAAAUCCGGUUCACUUUAACACUGAGGCGUGACGACGAGGCACUACGGUGCUGAAGCAACAAAUGCCCUGCUUC
rnacentral:rRNA from 1 species